CACGUAGGGCGCAAGCGUUGUCCGGAAUUAUUGGGCGUAAAGAGCUCGUAGGCGGUCUGUUGCGUCCGCUGUGAAAACUCGGGGCUUAACCCCGAGCCUGCAGUGGAUACGGGCAGACUAGAGGUAGGUAGGGGAGAAUGGAAUUCCCGGUGUGACGGCGGUAGAAAUGCGCAGAUAGUCGGAGGAACACCGGUGGCGAAGGCGGCCUUCUGGACAGUGACUGACGCUGAGACGCGAAAGCGUGGGGAGCGAACAGG
rnacentral:rRNA from 1 species